rnacentral:tRNA from 1 species
ACCUGGCUGGCUUAGUGGGUAGGGCAUGUGACUCUUGAUCUCAGGGUUAUGAGUUUGAACCUCAUGGUGGGUG